rnacentral:rRNA from 1 species
ACAAGCGGUGGAGCAUGUGGUUAAUUCGAAGCAACGCGAAGAACCUUACCAGGUCUUGACAUCCCCUGACAACCCGAGAGAUCGGGCGUCCCCUUCGGGGGACAGGGUGACAGGUGGUGCAUGGUUGUCGUCAGCUCGUGUCGUGAGAUGUUGGGUUAAGUCCCGCAACGAGCGCAACCCUCGCCUCUAGUUGCCAGCAUUCGGUUGGGCACUCUAGAGGGACUGCCGGCGACAAGUCGGAGGAAGUGGGGAUGACGUCAAAUCAUCAUGCCCCUUAUGACCUGGGCUACACACGUGCUACAAUGGGCGGUACAAAGGGCUGCGAACCCGCGAGGGGGAGCGAAUCCCAAAAAGCCGCUCUCAGUUCGGAUUGCAGGCUGCAACUCGCCUGCAUGAAGCCGGAAUCGCUAGUAAUCGCGGAUCAGCAUGCCGCGGUGAAUACGUUCCCGGGCCUU